CCCUUCCUUUGUGAAUGGACUCUCCGAGGCUAUAUGGUCCUCAGGGCUGGCUCAUAAUAAACUCACCCCAAUUUGAUUUACAGAUUGGUUAUGGAUUAUUUCCUUAGACAUUUUUGAGAUAAAAGUCUGCUACCAGUUUCCUGAUCUUCCAAGUGUGUAUUACAAAACUUCUUCUGAAUCUUCUAGUUCCAGGGAGACUCAAUAUCUGCCAGACCCUUGUAUCCUCUCAAUACCCUUAGGAGUGUUUGUGAUUUUCCCCCUUGGAGCUGGCAAUCUUGUUCGAUAUGGGAAUGUGAUUCCCUUAGCAAAGCCCUUAGCACGUAGUAGACACUCAAAUGUCUACUCAACUGUAAUUUCCUCCCAUACUAUUAUGAUUUUACAGUGCGUCUGAGGGCCAAGCCUCAGCAACACAGCCAUUUCCUCCAUAACAGGAUGGAGAUGACACCGGAUAUCUAUCUCAUAGGAACAGAGUGGUGACACAUGCAAACACUCUCUUCUGAAUGAUACCCUCACCUUUCACCAUAUAAGAAAAAAAAAAGGCGCACUACUACAAUAAUGCAAUAACAUCCUGCCAUUAUCACAUUCUUUAUUAAGACAGUCUUGCCCUGUCUUUAUUCCCAGUUCUGCCAUUGUUCCACAGCAGAGUGAAGUGGAAUUAUAGUGAGGCCAGCAGAGCGGAAGUGGUGACAGUUGCCAGCAAAGUCAAGCACUAUCAUGUAAGGGAGUUAUAGCCACCACAAGGGAAAACUCAGGCCUCCACUCUAGUCAUCACAAAUCAGGUUUUCCUUUACCAUCAAACAGCAACACAGGCACAUAGCUAGUGAAAUGUACAGUUACAGAGUCUGAUUUCUCCUACAUUAAAUUCUUGGAUGAGAGCUGUGCAUAAGCAAAUCUAAAUCAUAACAUUCUAAAAGCAUAUAAUUUAUUGGGUGAAGAACACUAAAUUUAAUUAAUUUUAGACCUCUGUAACAAUGGAGUAUACCAUGAGAGUUUCUUUAAGUUAUUAAACAGUUCAAAGUUUUAGAGCUGGAGACAAUUGCAAGUACACAAUCAUUACCCUGAGGUUAAUUGGUUUAGCUUUCCAAUUCUAACAAGUCAAAUGAAUCUGAAGGUGAAGAGACUCUCACGUGCUUUUAAGAACCUCAGAUAUGGUGAUUUGAUUGCCAUCCCAGUGGUCUGUUGAAAAUAUUUACAUUUCCUUAAACACAGUAAAUGUCACAUACCCAUUUUUCUUUAUUUUUAUGGGAGAUGUAAAUUUUCCAGAAUCUCCUUCCACACUUCAGAAGGGAGUGGAAGGGUAAGAUUCCUUAAGAGCAGCCUAUUUUAUGUGAAGAUCAGAUGUCUUCCUCUCCGGGAAUGCAUUUUGUCUCUGCAUGUUGUAAAAGGAACUCCCACUCCUAGAAACAUGAGCUUACCACCCCCAGAUGAGUCAGAUGCACCCUCAUAUUCUUUUCUCCUUUUCAUCUGUGGAGGCCAAGUUUACCCAGACUUGGAUUAUAUUUCUUCCGUUACCAGGUAAGGUAAAGAAUGUCUCAGAUCACGUGGGAGCUAUUCACUUCUCUCUAUAAUUUUUUUAAGAGCUUCCUUAAGAACAGGAGUCAUAUUUAUUCACCUUAUCACCCUAGGACCUAGGGUACUUAUUGUCUGGUAACUAAUAAGCAUUUAUUGAACAAAGGAAGUCUGAAAGGAGAAAAAAAAAAAGAAUUAACCCCAGCAUUUAUUUUAAAAGUUGCAAUGCGACAAGUGCUCAGGUUGAAUGUUCCAGGGGGAACAAGACACUUAAAGAUUUUAAAGAUUUUAUAGGCUAUAUUAAAGAAGAUCAAAUUUCAUUGUUCAAAUACUUGAAAGAUAUGGAAAACUGAGGUUGCGUUAAUCACAGGACAAGAUGCAGGGACAACAAGAUUGGGGCCAUGUUUAGCAGCCAGCGGUGGGACCACUGGGUUUAGUAAGAGAGGUGGAGAGGAACAGUUGGGGCUAAGGUCUUGCCAGGCUCAGUGGAAAAUGUUUAGUCCUUCAGCACCUUUCAUAGGAAAAAUAAUGUAAAUGGGAAUGUUAGAAAUGCAUGUUUCUACUUUCCAAUGGGUUGAAUGCUCCCCUAACACAAGAGCGUUAAAAACAGAGCCUGGAAUUUUGAUCCUGGGGGAUGGAAAGGAGGAGAGAGAGAAGGUCAACAGAAAGAAACAUGGAAGCUUUGGAAGGAGAACAGAGUAUGGACAAACCAGAGAGGGAUAAAAAUUUUAUUAACACCAAGAUUGUAUUAGAUAACAAAGGCAAGCAGCAAGUUGGCUUUAAAAAAAAAACCCUUUGGUGACAAACAGGUUUUCCUUGGACUAUGUUAACCUUUCCCUUCUUCUGAAAGGGAGCUUUUCUUACAGGAAUAUUUUUGGAUAGGUUAGAUUUUUAUUGAAAAUUGGUUUUAUUUAAAGUAUAUAAUUACCAAAAUAUGCAAUCUUACCUUCCAGUAACAAACAUUUGGAAAAAAAUUUGAGGUUCCAUGAAAAUCAUAACAGAUAAAGAAUUAUCAGUAUUUAUAUUUCCAGAAGUAUGGUGGAUAAAUAUCCUAAACAACCCUUGUUAACUGAAUCUAAGAGAAUGAAUAGAAAUAUAAAAAACAUUGUUUAUGAAAUGUCAAUAGACUGGUCCAAAAUUAAGGAAUAUGAAAAAUUCCCCAAAUUAUUUAAAACCAAGAGUGCUGGUAAAGCAGGCAUCAAAUCCAUCUCUGGACCUGUCGGUUUCUGCUGACCUGGUUUUCUUGAGCUCAUUCUUUGUGAGCUAAUAUGAGGAAGAAGAACUAAAUCCUAUGGCCCAUCCAGUCGGGGAAUCUACAGAUUACCUAGGCAUAAAAUUUUGACUCCUUCAGAAUAUAAGGGAAAAAAAGAACAUUACCAAAAAUGAUGACAUCAAGAAACAUACCUUUUUAAACUUGGUGCUAAGUGAAAGGAAAAGAAAAUAAAUUCUUCACAGAGAACACAUAAACAUAAACUAGCCCUCAUUUUACUGUCUAUAUUCACGUUACCUGUGUGGUCCAAGAAAACCCUAAGCACAUAAUUUAAUUUUCAGUUGCCCUGGAUUAGUCAUGCCUCCAGGACACUGAGAGAAGGAAACAGCAUCCUCUCUGAGGGAUUUCUCAACAACCCAGAACUCUAAGAAUUCCCACAGAUAAAACUCCAAGGAAAUUGAGCAUCUCCACACACACACCAAAAUACAAAUCACAAAAUAAUAAUGAAAACAUAUGAGUGAGAAGUGGCAGAAGGAGACCCACAAAUAUUUCAGAUAUGAGAAUUAUUAAUCAGUAUAAAAAGCAAAUAUAUUUAAAGAAAUGAGAUCCUUGAAAAUGAGCUAUGACGAAAAGAUUUUGAAGAACAAGAACCAAGAGAUUUAAAACACUGCCAAAUAGAAUAUGUAGAAAAGAGGAAUACAGUGCAUGAAAUGUAAAAUUCAGAGUAUGAAUUAAAAAGCUGAUUAAUUUUAUUUUUGCUCUGUUUACAGUGGGUAUAUAAUUUGAAGAAAAUUUCCAACAUGCAUCUGACAAGGAUUGAUCUAUAAAUAUAAAAGAGAAGGCAAGAGACAUGGAGAAUAGAAUGAAAAGUCUAACAUGUGUCUAUUUGGAGUUCCGGAAGGGUUUGAGGACCCGAGGAGGCGAUAGACAGCGACUGAUAAUUUCUUAUAAUUAUUAAAAGUACAAGACUACCAAGAAGUCUAAAGCUGUAAAAAUAAAACAACAUACUGAUACAUCAUAAAUGUUGCAGAUAGAUUGUUAAAGUAGUCAGAGAGAAAUGAAGGACAGUCUACAAAAUAAAGACAAUUAGAAUGAUGUUUGAACUCUUUAGAAUAUCAUAGAAGGUAGAAGAUGGCGAAAUGAUACAUUUAAAGAUGAGGUAUUUAAACUUGCCAGUCUAUACCUUGAGACAUUCUCAAGAAAAAGAGCAUUAAACAUUAUUUUACUACCAGAAUAACUUUACUAAGUAAAUUCUAAUGAAUGUUAUUCAAACAGAAGGGAAAUGAUCCCAGAUAAAGGGUCUGAAAUAUAAAAAAGUAAUGCCCAGCCUCUAGCUCAUACCUAAUUUGGCAGCAUAAAAAUACAAAAGGACACUGCUCAGUUUCCCUUUAAGGGAGAACCUAAAAUGAAGAGUAAAGGCCACCGACAAUCUCUAGCUAUAGCAUCUUCAGGAUCUGUUGCUGUGUUUGAGCCAAACACAACCCUCCCCAGUCAGCUCCUAGCCAAUGACAUAGAAGAACAGGGGUACCAGCAUGUGGUUCUUUCUGGCCAAUGCAAGCCCCCUGUGAUAGGCGGUCUUUGCUCUGGAGCCCUCCGUCAGGCUCACCAAGACUCUCAAAGCUGCACCUCAGCCUCCUGCUCUUCAUAUCCAACCCCUCUUCCUUCCCUGCCUUACUUCAUAAGUGUCAGACCUGCAUCAGAGUCUGAGGGCUCUCCCUCUUCCUGCUUACUUUCCCCUGUGUGUUCCACAGGCAUUACCAGCUAUACAACUCGUGCAUUUCUAUCUCUGUCUUGGUGCCUGCCUCCUGGAAGAAACGAGCUAACACAAUUGGUACUGGGGUGGUCCGGGAAAGUAGGUGGUGAGAUGGGGUUUGGGGACUGGUUCUGUCACCAGCUGGGUGGUAAGAAGGACUCCAUCUUAAGUGGUAUAUGAGGCGAGGCUACUUCCGAGCACAAGGUGGAGGCCCAAAGGCUGAAAAUGUCACUGGUCAGGACAAGAAAAACAUCCCAAAGGAAGGAUACCCUUGUCAGUGGGACAAUUCAGGCAUUUAAAAGACAAUAAGGCUAACAAUACAUACAAGGAAGGUGGAAUUUGCUGGUUAUUGUUAAGUUUGUUGAUGAACUACAGAGGGAAAAUGAGACACUGCAGGGCAGUUAAAAAGUUCAAAACUAUAUGUGGGAACCAGAGGGCCUGUACAGCAGCUUACAAAGACGCCCUUAUUUUCUUCAGAGGGAGAGCAGGUACACCUGAGGACCAAACUCCAAAUCUGAUAGUUAAGGUUAGGAAGGUUCAAAGAAUAUUGAAACUCCUCCAAAACAGGGUCUGCUACACUAAGGACAAGGCUGUGUUUGGGCAAACAUAGCAGGAAGGUGUCUGGAUGCGUCUCCCUGAGGACUGCGGCUCUGUGGACACCCUGAACCACAGCCUAGAAAGGUGGGCCAGCUCUCCCUGUUAAAAGCUAGCAUUGACCUCGUGCAGAAAGAUACAUUGAAGAGCUCUUCUUCACAAGGCUUCAGGUGCCCACCUCAGGAAAUGCCCCCAUUUUGUCUCCUGGCUAUAAGGCUGAUAACUAGGGUUAAAUUCCAGCAUAAGCCAAUUGGGGUUAUGCCAGACUUGUUCAGAGAGGACAGAGAUCCCAAAGGAACUGCAAGAAUUAGCUAGCUCGUACUGGCAGGAACAAGGGGAGUAUCCAUCAUAAUAGAUUAGGAGAGUGUUUGAGCAAGUGUCAGCCUGGAUAGAUGAGAGUUUACUGACUCAGGGGACUUGAUGGGAUAUGGCAAGGCCCCUAGGGUUGGAGUGAACAUGCUGCUAGGAUGGUUCUUAGAAACCUAGGGAAGGGCCCACGCUGUGCAAGGUAAAAUGCCUGAGUUGCUGAGACACAUAGUGGAGAAAGGGAUUAAAAAGCUCAGAGAAGUGGGCUUCCCGGAAUGGAUAUAUUAUAUGAGGCCAGAAUACCCACCACAGGAUUGUGUUGCACAGGAAGGCCCAGAAAAUGCACUGUUCAACAAGACCAUUAGGUCCACUCACUCUGGGAUGAGGGCCUGGCCAUUUGUCCCAACAUGGGACUUCCUUAAGGGGCGAUCUUUGCUCUGGAGCUCCUUAUUGGACUGCCCAAAUGGCUUUCUCUGAGAUUUACCUGUUUGAGGUUUUCAUUCUUAAUUCUCCUUCCUUCUCUUCUUUCAUAAGUAUCAGACCUACAUUACAGUUCAAACACUUCACCUGACUAUUCCUCUCCCUUGCACUUCUGUAUUUCGUAGGCUCGUUGCUUCCAAUAAAGCUCUGGCACUUCUAUAUUCUUCUAGAUAUCUGUUUUCCCCGGAUCCUGAACUAACACAAUCACCUAUGAAUCUGAUGGUAUCACAUGCAGUACAGUCCCUAUUGCUAACUGAAAACAUCUAGCAUCUUCUAUUGAGGCUAAAUUAAUUAGGAAAUAUUGUUAUUUUCUCCUUUUUACAUUCCUAUCUCCUGAUUCAACAUUUUUAAGCCAGCAACCUGAUUACCCUUACCCUGUGAAAGAGACUCUCACGGUUCUUUUUCUGUACUUUGAGCAGUGUCCAUCCUACAACAGAUCUUUUGGACAUGCCCAUACCAGAGCCUUACUUUUUGGUUAUUGAUGAGUUUUAUCUUAAAAGCGAAAAGUAAUAAUACCAGGAUGGAUGUGCAAGAACUGCUGUGGACUCUCGUGUAGCACUCAAUCCCUUACCAGAAGCCAAAGCAGCGGGAGUGGUUGAACUUGUGGUCUACAAAGGGCAUGUUAAAUUGCCAGUAAGUAUAAUGAUAAAUACCCACCCACACACACACACUGAUCACUGAUAUCAUUUUGGAGUAGUUCAUUAGCAGUCCAGUAGUUCAUGACUUUGAAAUGCUUCAGAAACACAAAGAUUUUAUACCCAAGGAAGUUGCUGUGAUCAAGAUAGAGGCCUACAGUAAAGGACAUGGCAAUAGCAGAACACCAUGCUCAACUGAUUGCUUUGACUAAACUUCUAAAUACAAAUAUUCCCUACAUAACAGUAAGGAAACAACUAUAGAGAAGUUCAAGGAGUCCAUAAUAGAUGCAUAAAAUUAGACCCCGAAUUCUGGGCAAAAAUGGAAAUCAUCAGGUUUUAAAAUUAAUGAAGAUAAGACCUGUCAAAUCCAGGAAGGAUGCCUAGUGUCAUCAGAUAACUUUAAAUGUUUAAAUGGAGCUCACUAAAAUCCUCCAUGAUACAAUUCAUUACAAAUGGGAAAAAUUGCCUCUAAGAUUAAAUAUUAACGGGAAAACUUUUCUAGAAUAAGACUGGAUAUACCCGGUUCAUGCCUCAUCUUUAAUUAACAUAAUGCUGAAAAAACUGUAAAGGUCCUACAGACUGAAACCAUGAUUGACAGGACUGGUUAGCAUCUGAAAUAAAUUUUAUAAAAUUAUCUGCCUUCAUAGGUGAAUAUGUAGUAGUAGCAGAACAUUUAUUUUCUGGUAUGUUGAAGCCAUAGCAAUCACAGUGGCAUAAUUAAAAAGGAGAGACACUAAGAUUCCAUGAUUUCUACCUAGGCCAUCCUAACAUAUCUAUCCUUAAUGAUAGGGAAAGACAUUUUACUGGGGCAAUUAUUCAUGGCUUAUGAAAGGCUUUGUCCUGUAUUCAGAAACUUCACUGUCCUUAUUAAUCCCCAAUCCUCUGCAAAGUGGAAAGAUUCUUAACAGAGUUAGAAAGUUACAACCAUUAGAGACCUUAAAAUGACAUUCAACUGCAAGUCAACUGCUGACUCAAGAUCCUCAGAGGAAGCAGACAACUGAAUGAAGUAGACAUUUCUGCCCCAAAUCAUCUGAACAAGAUAUCCAGAACCAUUAAUUGCCCUACUCUACAUUGCCCGAGGAUUGGGCACAUGAAGGAUAACCAGAUAGACUGGGGCCCACCAGGACAGAAGUGUUCCCAGAGGCACCUGCCACAGACCCCUGGACAGAGUUCCUGUCUGUCCCAUGGAGGGAGAUCAUGCCAAGACAAUAACUCAGC
rnacentral:lncRNA from 1 species